GUGCAAAUUAAAGGAAACUGCAUUUCUUAUAGUCUGAACCAAUGUAACAGGUACUAUUUUCAGCACAUCCAGAUUUUCUAGUUUUUAAUUUCUUGUUGCUCUUCUGCAAAUCCAGAUGGAAACUGCUCAACAGAACAAGUGGAAAAGGAAGAAAAGGCAAUUUAGUCUCUUUGGCCAUUAAAAGGUACAAUACUGAGAGCAAGUGGGUCAGUGUGAAUAAAACAUGCAGGAUCAAAGAGCAUCUGGAUAUUAUUCCAUCCUGUUAAAGAACUUCACUGGUGCAGAAUCUAAAGACAUUCUUCUUAAAGGCUAAAAUCAGCUCAAGAAAAGACAGCCCAUACAAGGACCCUGAGCUGUCAGAGGAUGAACACCUCAGCAGACCAUUUUGACCAGUCAAAGCUGAUUAUUCCAUUCAAAUUCUUCAUAUGCAAGUGCAAGGCUGCACUCCGAGGCAUCACAGAAGAUGCAGAAGGAAUUUGGGACUCUAUUUCUGAUGUGCUGGAAAUGUGAUGCUGUUACUUUGAGGGCUCCUCUGACCACAUAUAAGAUUCAAUAAACAGCAUUACAGUGAAUUUGGGGUCRCUGUUAAAUAUUUUUUUAGGCCAUAGUUUUAA